rnacentral:rRNA from 1 species
GGCAGCAGUGGGGAAUUUUGGACAAUGGGCGAAAGCCUGAUCCAGCAAUGCCGCGUGCAGGAUGAAGGCCUUCGGGUUGUAAACUGCUUUUGUACGGAACGAAACGGUUCUUUCUAAUAAAGAGAGCUAAUGACGGUACCGUAAGAAUAAGCACCGGCUAACUACGUGCCAGCAGCCGCGGUAAUACGUAGGGUGCAAGCGUUAAUCGGAAUUACUGGGGCGUAAAGCGUGCGCAGGCGGUUAUGUAAGACAGUUUGUGAAAUCCCCGGGCUCACCUGGGAAUUGCAUCUGUGACUGCAUAGCUAGAGUACGGUAGAGGGGGAUGGAAUUCCGCGUGUAGCAGUGAAAUGCGUAGAUAUGCGGAGGAACACCGAUGGCGAAGGCAAUCCCCUGGACCUGUACUGACGCUCAUGCACGAAAGCGUGGGGAGCAAACAGGUUAGAUACCCUGGUAGUCCACGCCCUAAACGAUGUCAACUGGUUGUUGGGUCUUCACUGACUCAGUAACGAAGCUAACGCGUGAAGUUGACCGCCUGGGGAGUACGGCCGCAAGGUUGAAACUCCAAUGAAUUGACGGGGAAUCACUAGUGAA